ACCACCAGCUCAGGAGACACAGAAUGGCUCCCUGUCCCUUGCGCAGAGCCCUCCCGGGAACGCCAAAAGGAAGCAGGGCACGCCUGCAGGAAGCUCCUACUGGCUCAAGUCUGGACUUUAAGUGCUUCCAU
rnacentral:lncRNA from 1 species